AAGCCCAGAAGGCGGCGGACACUCGCAUAAAGUCACGCAGUAGUACUCGGAGCCCGGGGUAGAACCUGGACUUCAAAUCUCUGCACUCCCGGCCGGGUGGUGGGCGCAUAUCCUGGGUAGCCUCUAGGAAGCGCUAGACACAUGGAACCAAGGCAGAUUCAGCCUGGCAGCUGGCAAGUCAUGGAGCACUGCCUGUCCAUCUGCGAGCUAACAACAGUCGCGCUGGAAGUCAACAAGGGAAAUGGAAAGGGAGAGACCCAGCCUCCACAGGGGCUCACGCCCUGGGACCUGUGCCAGUGUGAACAAGGUUUUCCGGUUCUAGCCAGAGGAAGCUGCAGCCAGGCCUGGCAGUCUCCCCUGCUCCCUUCCACCAGCUUGGUUCCUGUUUCUGCUGGUCCUGGGAGCCCCCAGCAGAUGGACUGCCCUUAUCAGCCGGCUCCAGGCCAGAGGAGGAAUCCUCCGGUCACGUGUGGCUCUCUGGAGGGAGAGAGACCUCAUAAAUACAUACAGCCCACGCAGAGGAAGGGGGGAGGGUCAAGGGGAAAGAAACCUUGACAUUCUGGCGACUGGGCCAGGAUUAAAGUCCACCAGGCAUAGUCCUUAUUGGCUAUUUCUAUGAGGAAUCUCAAAUCCACAUGGCUUCCCUGGAUGACAACGCUGACUUUGACUAGCCCUGGGAUCUGGGGCAUUCCCAGUGUGCUGCUGGCUUGAUCCAGGCCUAAUCCUUUGCCCAGGACUGACCUUUCACAGUUUACAGAGCACUUUAUCUCCUGGCUCAGUGAAGUCUCACAGAACCCUCCAGAGAGAAGGGAGUUUAUCAUCACCCUCAAUUUACAGAUGAGGAAGCUGAGGCUGCGAUUGUAACUGACUGACUGCUGGCUACGCAGCUACAAGUGACCGAGUCCAGCCUGAAAGCCACAUAUAUUCUCCCACAAAAUCCAGAGCUGCCAAACACAUCCUCCUCCAUGAGUCUUGCUUUGUG
rnacentral:lncRNA from 1 species